UACGGGGGGGCAAGCGUUGUUCGGAAUUACUGGGCGUAAAGGGCUCGUAGGCGGCCAACUAAGUCGGAUGUGAAAUCCCCAGGCUCAACUUGGGUACUGCAUCCGAUACUGGAUGGCUUGAAUCCGGGAGAGGGAUGCAGAAUUCCAGGUGUAGCGGUGAAAUGCGUAGAUAUCUGGAGGAAUACCGGUGGCGAAGGCGGCAUCCUGGACCGGCAUUGACGCUGAUGAGCGAAAAGCUAGGGGAGCAAACGGG
rnacentral:rRNA from 1 species